rnacentral:lncRNA from 1 species
AAAGAUUAGAUACAUUUCAUGCAUUCAUUUAAUAAAAAUCGAGCACUUAAGUCUCCAGCUCUGGGAGGGAAAUGGAUGAAGCAGUGAAGAAAAUACAGGAGCUGGGCUAGGCUUUAAAGGGCUACAUUAGAUGACAGUAAGUGCUAAAUAAGAUGCAGUAGUUCCAACAGCUGGAACUAUGAAGAAAAUGAAACAUAGCAAUUUGACAGAGAGCAACUUCAGGGAAAAGAGAAGAUCUGCAACAUUAAGGAGGUGGAUCUGGGACAGUCUGGCUAAGGUGACAGUUGAGUCCCAUGUGACAAAUGGGAGGUGCCUGCUGUGGAAGAUCUGGUUUUCUACGUGCAGUAGUGGUUUUCACCCACCUAAAUCUCCCUGCAUAUUUGGCAGUGUCUUGGCAGUUGGGUUGCUACAGCUAGGAGAAAGGGGGUGUUCUGAAGUCUAGUGGGCAGAGGCCAGGAAGUCUAGUGGUCAGAGGCCUGGGUCCUACAAAGCACAGGACAGCCUCCACACUGAGAAAUUAACUGGUCCAAAGUGUCAAUAGUGACAAGGUCGACAAACCCUCGUAUAGAGAAAACGUCAAAGGCAGAAGCCAGCAAGGAGCUUGUCGGGUUUGGGCAGCAAACGCAAACCUGGAGUGACGGUGGAUGAGGAUGAGGUGGAAGAGGUAAGCGAGGCUAGACUAUGCAGUGCUCCUUAGGACACAGUGAGGAAUUUGGAAUUAUCCCCAAAGCAGUGGACAUCC